rnacentral:rRNA from 1 species
CCGAACUCAUUAACGUUGAAAAGUUAUGGGAUGAGCUGUGAGGAGGAGUAAAAGUCUAAUCAAACGUGGAGAUAUCUCGUACUCUCCGAAAUAGCUUUUGGGCUAGCCUUGAGGAAUUGCUUUACGGGGGUAGAGCUACUGAAUGGGGUUAGGGGCCUACCCGGUCACCUGCCCCAACCAAACUCCGAAUACCGUAAAGUGUACCUCGGGAGUCAGUCUACGGGAGAUAAGUUCCGUGGUCGAAAGGGAAACAACCCAGCCCGCCAGCUAAGGUCCCAGAAUCCUGCUAAGUUAUUAAGGAAGUUGGAUUGCGGNNGCAGUCCGGCGCCGAUAAUGAUCGGGAAUAAGCAGGAUACCGAAGCUGCGGAUUACCAGACGGGUUCGCCUGUCUGGCAGUGGUAGGAGAGCGUUGCUGUCAGCAUAGAAGCCGCACGGAGACGAGCGGUGGAGCGGCAGCAAGUGAUUAUGCCGGUAUGAGUAACGAUAAAACAGGUGAGAAUCCUGUUCGCCGAAAGCCUAAGGUUUCCUGGGGAAGGUAGAUCCGCCCAGGGUUAGUCGGUCCCUUAGUCGAGGCCGAAAGGCGUAGACGAUGGACAGCAGGUUAAUAUUCCUGCACUAUGUACCAAAGGUUAUAACUGUGGGGGCGACGCGGAAGCAACGGUUGGAAGCCGACUAGUAGUGGCUAUUGUGCCCGUGUUGUUGUCGGUUGGUAAAUCCGCCGACACAAAACAAUACGGGACCGCGAGGGCCGAUUUAAGAUGCCUGAGCAACCCGAAAUUCCGCCAAGAAAAACCUCAAACAGGACAAUGGUGCUUAACCGUACUAAAACUGACACAGGUAGGCAAGGAGAAUAUCCUAAGGCGCUCGAGAGAACCGUCCUUAAGGAACUAGGCAAUUUGACCCCGUAAGUUCGCAAUAAGGGGUCCCUACAGGGGCAUUUAAGCAAUUAGGUGCCUGCUGAGGGCGCAGUGAAGUGGCUCUGGCGACUGUUUAUCAAAAACACAGUUCUCUGCUAACUCCAAAAGAGGAUGUAUAGAGAAUGACGCCUGCUCGGUGCUGGAAGGUCAAGGAAGUCGGUCAUUGGGUAGCAAUACCUGAAAAGCUGGCGACCGAAGCCCCAGUAAACGGCGGCCGUAACUAUGACGGUCCUAAGGUAGCGAAGUUCCUUGUCGGGUAAGUUCCGACGUGCAUGAAUGGCGUAACGACUGGAGUAGUGUCUCAAGGACGGACUCGGUGAAAUUGUAGAUGCGGUGAAGAUACCGCAUUCCCGCGGCAAGACGGAAAGACCCUAUGAACCUUUACUGUAGCCUGGUAUUGAUGCCUGACAUAACUUGCGUAGGAUAGGUGGGAGGCGAUGAUGUCCCGAUUUCGGUCGGGGCGGAGCCACCGUUGAAAUACCACCCUUGUUCUGUUAGUCACCUAACCGUGACCCGUGAAACCGGGCAUGGUACAGUGCCAGGUGGGCAGUUUGACUGGGGCGGUCUCCUCCUAAAGAGUAACGGAGGAGUUCAAAGGCAUACUCAGCGCGGUUGGCAAUCGCGCUUAGAGCGCAAGGGCAAAAGUAUGCUUGACUGCAAGACUUAUAGGUCGAGCAGGCGUGAAAGCGGGACCUAGUGAUCCGGCGAUUCUGUGUGGAAGGGUCGUCGCUCAACAGAUAAAAGGUACUCUAGGGAUAACAGGCUGAUCUCCCCCGAGCGUUCAUAGCGGCGGGGAGGUUUGGCACCUCGAUGUCGGCCCAUCGCAUCCUGGGGCUGAAGGCGGUCCCAAGGGUUGGGCUGUUCGCCCAUUAAAGCGGUACGCGAGCUGGGUUCAGACCGGCGUGAGCCAGGUCGGUCCCUAUCUGCCGUGGGCGCAGGAAUCUUGAUGGAAAUAUUUCCUUAGUACGAGAGGAUUAGGAAGUACUGACCGCUGGUGUACCGGCUGUCCUGCUAAGGGCACCGCCGGGUAGCUAUGUCGGGAAAGGAUAACCGCUGAAAGCAUCUAAGCGGGAAGCCCCCUCCAAGAUGAGGAUUCCAGUGACUUCGGUCACAAAGAGCCCUGGUAGACCACCAGGUUGAUAGGCCGGAUGUGUAAGGCGAGAGAUCGCUUCAGCUAACCGGUACUAACGCUCAAUUACUUGACCAU